GAUGAACGCUGGCGGCGUGCCUCAAACAUGCAAGUCGAGCGGGGCUAUGUAAUAUCGCAAGGUAGAACAUAGCCUAGCGGCGAACGGGUGAGUAACACGUGGGUAACCUGCCUGGAAGACAGGGAUAACGAUUCGAAAGGGUCGCUAAUACCUGAUAAUAUCCUUUCAUCGCAUGGUGAUAGGAAGAAAGGGGAAACCCGCUUUCAGAUGGGCCCGCGUCCCAUCAGCUAGUUGGUAAGGUAAAGGCUUACCAAGGCGACGACGGGUAGCCGGUCUGAGAGGAUGUACGGCCACACUGGGACUGAGAUACGGCCCAGACUCCUACGGGAGGCAGCAGUUGGGAAUCUUAGGCAAUGGACGAAAGUCUGACCUAGCGACGCCGCGUGAGGGAAGAAGGCCUUCGGGUUGUAAACCUCUGUCAUGGGGAAGAAGUAAGUGACGGUACCCCAAGAGGAAGCCCCUGCUAACUACGUGCCAGCAAGCCGCGGUAAUGAGUAGUACA
rnacentral:rRNA from 1 species